rnacentral:tRNA from 1 species
AGCCCUGUGGUGUACUACAUAUUGAAUUCCAAAUUCAAAGAAGCAGCUUCAAUGCUGCCGGGGCUU